AGCGCCGUUGUGCACCGCCUAAGUGAGAGCGGCGGAUGGGUGACGGUCGGGUCACUGCGACUGCCGCUGCUUUCCGAGGCCACAGGACAGGGGCCAUCGGCCGCCGCCAGGACAGCUAGCGAGGCGGAGGAACCAUGUAAGAAGUCUGAUCGCCCUGCUGGAGAAACCAAAUGGAGAGGUCCAGAGAGUUCCAGAGACAACAUGGGGAGAGAGCGCACAGCCCAGCAGAGACCAGCUUUUCAGUUAUCCCCACCAAUGCGCCACACAUAUGAAGGAAGUCAUCUUGACCCCUCCAGAACAACCAAGCCAACCAGCUGGAUGAUAGAUAUAUGGGGAUUCAUUUUCCUAGUCUAAUUUUGUAUAUGUUUGCAAUUUUCCAUAAUAGAAGACUUUUUAAAGUGGUUCAUUUUGGACUGCAUUGCAUUUACACUUUCUUUGAUUCCUUACCAGCAUGUGGAAGUCUGCAGCUGUCAAAGGUGUUAAGUUCUAGUGACGUUUUGGUACAAACAGCCAUCCGCCACCAACCUACCACAUAUCCUUCUGGGGGUUACUAAUCUAGUACUCACUCUCUGCUAGAACAGGAACAGUGACAGGCAGAAUUGUAACAUCAGCAGCUCUUUCUCUUGGAGAGAACCUCUGGGUCAGAGGCAAUGGAAUCCUGUAUUAUUUUGAGAGUCCACUGAGCCCAGACUAGCUGACUCUGUGAAAGUACGGUUUUAAUGUGCAUCUAUGGCUUUAGCAGAUGGUGACUUGGAUUUGGUCCAAGGGUCCGUGGAUUCCAAUCACUUAACUCCAGCCUGGGUUGAGUCAGCAAUCCAGAGAAAGGGCCUCUGUCAAGCAAUUCUUAGGAGACCCAGUCUGUCCAACUAACCUUCAUAUAUUCUUUCAUAGCUAUGUCUAUUCUUUUAUUAUUAUUAUUAUACUUUAAGUUGUAUAUUGAUCAUUUUAAGGAUGUAACCAGAUGCUCCCAGGAACCUAAACCUGUAUUUCCACUAGGAGCAGUGGCUCAGUAUUUGGUAAUUCAUUGCUUGAGGUGACCUUAUAGAAUAUAACUACCGCAAAUAAUGAAUCAAGUAUACAUACACAUGUGUGUGUGUGUGUGUCUGUCUGUGUAUUUUGGAGUACUCUAAUGCAAACUGCUGACAUCUUAACAUUUUAUCUGAAAAUGUUUCAAUAUGUCUCCCUAACAUAUUGGUUCUUAAAGUGUGAUGUGAAGAGUCCUGGUGACACCUGAGACUGAGACCCUUUCAGGUGUCUGGGAAAUCCUUUUUCCAACUACAUAUCUCCAUGAUGUUGGAUUUGUCUUCCUAUACUUUAUCCAAAACAGCAUAUUACAACAUUAAAUGAAGAAGCAAAUAUGAGAAUCUAGCUGUCUUGUACUGAGGCAGACAUUUAAAAGAUUUUUAGAAAUGUAAAACAUUCCUAAAUUCUUUGUUUUUUAAAAUGCAAUUAUUUUAAUAAAAUUUUAUUUAUGAU